rnacentral:lncRNA from 1 species
GAGGAUCAAAAUGACUCAAUUUGGAAGUUCACUCUACUAUGCGGUCGCAGAGGAGAAAAUCUAUGCGGUCACGAGUAACCCUCCAGGGAUUAAAAACGCCAAAAUCCAUAUACCUAUGCGGUCGCAUAGGUAUAAUCUGUGCCCGAUUUUUGCAGUUUCCUUAUAUGAUUGCAACUCCUUUGGUAACCUAAUUUCGACGGGUUUAAAUAGCAAAUAAACGUCCAGAAGCCGGAAGGAACGAAUUGGGAGGCAAAAACAUUCAUUUUGGAGAGGAUUUGAAGGCAAGAACAAGGAUUGAUGCGAAGAUUUACAAGAUUUCUUCAAGUUUUGAUAACCCGGUGAUGUAUUUUAUUCAAAACUUAAUAGAUUUCGUUAUUUUUAUCAUGAUAGGCUAGAUUUCUGUAACUAGGUGGUCGAUGAACCAUGUAAUUAUUAUUAAAC